rnacentral:rRNA from 1 species
UACGAAGGGGCUAGCGUUGUUCGGAAUUACUGGGCAUAAAGCGUGCGCAGGCGGCUUCUCAAGUCAGGGGUGAAAGCCCAGGGCUCAACCCUGGAAUUGCCUUCGAUACUGGAUAUCUUGAGUACGGGGAGAGGUGUGUGGAACUCCGAGUGUAGAGGUGAAAUUCGUAGAUAUUCGGAAGAACACCAGUGGCGAAGGCGACACACUGGCCCGUUACUGACGCUGAGGCGCGAAAGCGUGGGGAGCAAACAGGAUUGAG